rnacentral:lncRNA from 1 species
GAUGGUCUCGAUGUCCUGACCUCGUGAUCCGCCCACCUCGUCCUCCCAAUACUGGGUGAAUUAUCACACUUCUUUCUGACCAUUCACUUUUCUGUCUUUGUAACAGCCAUCAGGGUCUUUGAGAAAGUUUUGUAACUUAGUUCAUUGAUUUGGAAAAUUAUGCCAAUAACCACCCUUCCUAGCAAACUGUCCCUGAAGAAGACCACGACAGUUCAUUUAGUUUUCACAAACAGUAUUAGGAGAUGACUUGGAAUUUUCUGGGGAAAUCAUUGAAUAUACUUCUGAGCGCAAACCCAGUGGCACAGGGAGUCCUUGGUCGCCAGGGCUGUCAUCAUUUCUGGAGGAGCCGUGUUGCACCUGGGGCCACUGAGACCCAGAAGAUCUGUCCUGUGGGAGAAAGGACUUCGCGGAGCUCUGUGGGGGCUGCAGCUGAGGAGAGUGCUGGAGUCUUCAGUCGGAUCUGCCUUUCUUGCUGACUCAAGAAACAGUAAAAGGUGACAGGAAGGUGGCCCCGGAACAAAUGGAGUCCCGCAGUGGCUCCAGCCAUGUGGAAUAAACCAAAUUAGUGCUGGCAGAAACUGAACCUGGAUUAUGAGUGCUGGCAAAAAUGUAAACAAAAUUAUUAAAAGAAAA